rnacentral:rRNA from 1 species
UACGUAGGGUGCAAGCGUUAAUCGGAAUUACUGGGCGUAAAGCGUGCGCAGGCGGUUAUGUAAGUCAGAUGUGAAAUCCCCGGGCUCAACCUGGGACCUGCAUUUGAGACUGCAUAGCUGGAGUACGGUAGAGGGGGAUGGAAUUCCGCGUGUAGCAGUGAAAUGCGUAGAUAUCGGGAGGAACAUCCAUGGCGAAGGCAGCUACCUGGACCAACACUGACACUGAGGCACGAAAGCGUGGGGAGCAAACAGG